rnacentral:rRNA from 1 species
AACGAACGCUGGCGGCAGGCCUAACACAUGCAAGUCGAGCGAGGACUUCGGUCCUAGCGGCGGACGGGUGAGUAACGCGUGGGAACGUGCCCUUUGCUACGGAAUAGCCCCGGGAAACUGUGAGUAAUACCGUAUGUGCCCUUCGGGGGAAAGAUUUAUCGGCAAAGGAUCGGCCCGCGUUGGAUUAGGUAGUUGGUGGGGUAAGGGCCUACCAAGCCGACGAUCCAUAGCUGGUUUGAGAGGAUGAUCAGCCACACUGGGACUGGGACCCGGCCAAGACUCCUACGGGGGGCAGCAGUGGGGAAUCGUAGACAAUGGGGGAAACCCUGAUCUAGCCAUGCCGCGUGAUCGAUGAAGGCCUUAGGGUUGUAAAGAUCUGUCAGGGGGGAAGAUAAUGACUGUACCCACAGCAGAAGCCCCGGCUAACGCCGUGCCAGCAGCCGCGGUAAAAC